rnacentral:rRNA from 1 species
UACAGGGGGUGCAAACGUUGCUCGGAAUUAUUGGGCGUAAAGCGCGCGUAGGCGGCUACUUAAGUCGGAUGUGAAAGCCCUUGGCUCAACUGAGGAAGUGCACCCGAAACUGAGUGGCUUGAGUACUAAAGAGGGUCGCGGAAUUCCCGGUGUAGAGGUGAAAUUCGUAGAUAUCGAGAGGAACACCGGUGGCGAAGGCGGCCUUCUGGACAGUGACUGACGCUGAGACGCGAAAGCGUGGGGAGCGAACAGG